AUGAACGCUGGCGGCGUGCCUAAUACAUGCAAGUCGAGCGAACAGACGAGGAGCUUGCUCCUCUGACGUUAGCGGCGGACGGGUGAGUAACACGUGGAUAACCUACCUAUAAGACUGGGAUAACUUCGGGAAACCGGAGCUAAUACCGGAUAAUAUAUUGAACCGCAUGGUUCAAUAGUGAAAGACGGUUUUGCUGUCACUUAUAGAUGGAUCCGCGCCGCAUUAGCUAGUUGGUAAGGUAACGGCUCACCAAGGCAACGAUGCGUAGCCGACCUGAGAGGGUGAUCGGCCACACUGGAACUGAGACACGGUCCAGACUCCUACGGGAGGCAGCAGUAGGGAAUCUUCCGCAAUGGGCGAAAGCCUGACGGAGCAACGCCGCGUGAGUGAUGAAGGUCUUCGGAUCGUAAAACUCUGUUAUUAGGGAAGAACAAAUGUGUAAGUAACUAUGCACGUCUUGACGGUACCUAAUCAGAAAGCCACGGCUAACUACGUG
rnacentral:rRNA from 1 species